UAUCUGUAAGAAUACAGAGGUAAAAAUUAAAAAUGUGGAGGUUUGUUUUAUAAUAUAUGAUAGACUGACAGUUAAGUAACACAACUAAGGGAUCUGUUCAACUGAAUAUUAUCACGAUUUCAAAUGUUACAUUGCAUUUAUAGUUUAAUAAACAAGUAGCCUAAUAUGUAGUCACUUACCAUUUAGACGCAAUAUUGACGUUUUUGUUUUAUUUCACCAACGAAAAAAGUUACAGAAGAAAAGCAACACUCAGCACGGUGUUUUGUUAUUGAAUGAUUCAUCAUUUUGAACGAAUCGUUUUAAUGAAUGACUCAAUGAUUAAUUUAUUAAGACGGUCACUUGCCGCCACCUAUUGACGGUUUAGUUUCAUGUUUAAAAGUAGGCCAUCGUCGUUGUUGUUGUUGUUGUUUUUACAUUUGUUUAAACAUCAAUCUCAUAAAUUAUUUAUUACAGUUGUAAUCUUGCAGUGUAAAUUAUUUAAUUUGAUUGAUAACAGCCCUUAUUAUUAAAACUGAAUUUGAUCAAAUGUAAGAAUUUGACAUGAAAGAUAAAGCUUAAAAAGAUAAAGUAGCCUAGAAAUAAAUAAUUUUUAACCUUUAAUAUUAGAAUGAUGUACCAACUGGGGUUUACAGCAUUAGUUGAGAGAUAUUUUUUUCUUUGAAGAAAUUUGCUAUGUACUGUACCUGAUAGGCCACAACUUAAUCAAUAUUCAAUCAAAUUGUGUCAAUAAAUGUUUUCUUUUUAUUUAUUUUUUAAAUAAAUGUAUUGAAGCAAAAUGUUUCUUGUCAGAAUGCACCAAAAUGCUUCAUUUGGUUAAAAUCAUAAACAUAGUCUCAUGGGGGACAAUGCCCCAGACACCCCUACAACAAAUUACUUCGUAAACAUGUCACCUUUUUCAGCACUUUUGAGUUUGCAGGUCUGUAGUAUUAUUUAAUAUGAUUUACCAUGUUUCUAGCGUGAUUUACCAUGAUUUACCACAUUGCUAGCAAUUGUGUGAAGUGUCAGUACAAAUGAAGUGAUAAACCCUGUGAGAGUGUUAUGUCUGUAGCGUUAAUGAUCCUGGAUGAAGCUAUGAACAUAAUCUCCAAAUUGCACCCAAGAAGAUUGGAAGUGUACUAAAGUAGUGACCAGUGUACUAAAUCCAUAAGUGUCAAGACAAAUACAGCAACAAGCAAAGAGGCAUUGACAGAGAGUCAAGAAAUGAUGAUGAGAAGAAUUAUUAUUAAUAUUUCAGUAAAGUUCAUUAAAUCUACUCUGUUGUUAGUGUGGUCUUUAAACUUAUGAACUGUGUAUGGACUGACAAAGGUGUUACAUGAGGAAGCAAUUUGACAACAAUGCAGUAAAUAUUUUAGGUCCAUCAAAAAGCGUGCUCGUUAAGAUACCAGCAGACAAGCUAAUCCAGCACAAAUUAGUGCAUAAAAGGUCACCAAAAUGAAGUAUUGAACCUCAUAAUUAAAUACAAAAGGAGGAGAAAAACUGCAAAAAGGUCCACUUUUUGAAAAAAAGAACCCCCCCUUUCAAUAGGCUGGCUACGGACCUGCAAAGGUAUUCAGGAAGUAUUUAAGAGGGAUCUCAGAAAAAUGGGAGUGAAAGAAUUAAGUCAUGAGAGUUCAAUUACAUACGGAUUAGAAAGCGUAUUCCCUUAUUUAAAGAGAACAGAGCUGAUUAAAAGAAUUUAGAUUUAAAUAAUUUUUUUCCCCUUUCUUUCUUUUGGGUGUAAUAAUGGGCAAACUCUGGUCCACACUCCAACACAGUAGGUGGCGAUAAUGCACCUUAAUAAAAUCAUAAAACCGAAAAAGUUUUAAUUAACACCUUACACUGCCACGCCGUUUUUCAACUUCGUUCGUCUGGAAGGCUGCCAUUUUUGGAGUUUCUCCAUAGAAGCAAUUUACAGCUUUUUGGAGAGUCAAACUGGAAGAAAGUAAGUUCCUGGUGAAGCGAGGCGAAUUUUGCUAAGGAGCACUUCUAUGAUGCAUCAAGUGGCUCAGGGUACCAUGGCUUGGCGUUUAAAGAGAAGUACAGAUUAGAACCUGGUGAUGACUCACCAGGGUAGGACAUCUCUGCCUAUCACCUGCCCCCAACAUCACAAAGCCACAAUAAGAGAACAAAGAUCAGCCUCCUUCAGGCAAAUGGCUAUUUAGUGAGAUUUCUUAAGAACACAGAUAUUUGUAAUACAAAUUGAGAGCUUCCUGUCCCUUCAUUGACAGUCCACUCAUCUACAUUUCAAGCCCAAGAAAGGUAUGAACUAGCAUUCCAGUAUUUUUGGAGGAAGUUGAAUCUGCACAGCCUUUCCUGUUCUAUGAAAAAAACCAUGCACUGAACUUUACUGUUUGCAACUGUAACACAGCUGAUCCACAUAUCUUUUUAUCAGCUGAAUGUUGUUGACUCAAGCACAGCUGUGCUGUGUGGCAAAGUAGGUAUUGAGUUGACUAAGCUUCUGACAUUUAGCGACACAGUUCUUACAUUCACUGACAUGUACAGGACUUGAAGUAUUACAGACCAUCUGAUAAGCAGCUUUCAUAUUAUUUCUGAUGACAGAAAUGUGCAUUCAUCAUUUAUUUUAAAAGUGAACCUUCCAUGAUGUAAAGUGGCUUGUACAUUAAUAAAGAACUACGUAGUUUGUUAAAACUGUUUGCAUUUUGCCUUUUUUAACUUUGU